GUGGGCUACGGGGACAUUUACCCUAAGACUUUGCUUGGGAAGAUUGUGGGGGGUCUCUGUUGCAUUGCAGGGGUGCUGGUGAUAGCCUUGCCCAUCCCCAUCAUCGUCAACAAC
rfam:Salmo salar isolate Sally breed double haploid chromosome ssa22, whole genome shotgun sequence.